GUAGGUGGCAAGCGUUGUCCGGAAUUAUUGGGCGUAAAGCGCGCGCAGGCGGGUUCUUUAAGUCUGAUGUGAAAGCCCACGGGCUCAACCGUGGAGGGUCACUGGAAACUGGAGAACUUGAGUACAGAAGAGGAAAGCGGAAUUCCACGUGUAGCGGUGAAAUGCGUAGAGAUGUGGAGGAACACCAGUGGCGAAGGCGGCUUUCUGGUCUGUAACUGACGCUGAGGCGCGAAAGCGUGGGGAGCAAACAGGAUUAGAUACCCUGGUAGUCCACGCCGUAAACGAUGAGUGCUAAGUGUUAGGGGGUUUCCGCCCCUUAGUGCUGCAGCUAACGCAUUAAGCACUCCGCCUGGGGAGUACGGCCGCAAGGCUG
rnacentral:rRNA from 1 species